rnacentral:lncRNA from 1 species
UACACUAUUAGUUAUAUAAAAUUUAUACAUCAUGUAGAUAUUCCUCGAUCUUAAGAACUUAACACCCACCAGAGUUUUAAUCCAGGGUAUCUUACAAGAUUCAUAUAACAUCAGUAGAAAUGUAUGAUUUAAUCUUGAUUUGAUAUUUGUCUUUAGAUUAAAGAAGUUCAGUGUUUACCAACUUAGUAUUGGAAACUACAGUAACUGUGAGGGAUUGUUUGAUUCACAGUCUCUGAAUACCAUUCAGAUAUUAUUAUAUUGAGUAUUAUUUAAUUGUAAAAACAACUUUUAGCCAGGCCUGGUGACACAUGCCUUAAAUACAAGUUCUCAGGAGGCAGAGGCAGGCAGAUCUUUGGAGUUCAAGGCCAGCUUGGUCUAUAUACUGAGUUCCAGGCCAGCCAGGGCUACAUACUAAAAUUCUCUCAAACAGAUUAUUUGAAGUUUUGAUGGUACAUUGUAUUAGUCAUAGUUAGGAUUUUAUAUUCUCUCUCUCAUAUUUAUUAUUUUUUAAUGUGAUAAUCUCUGGCAACACAGUAUAAAAGAAGGGGUUUGACUCAGCUAUUAUUUUGUAGGCAUAUUUACAGCUAUGGAAAUAACUAUAUAAAUAAAUAAUUCAGAAAAAUGUUUUGGUAGCUAACUCAAAGAAAAAAAAUCCCUAUAACUUUUAGUUUGUUUGUUCUGGGGCAAAUAAGCAAAUUGAGAUACUGUAAGGGACAGUAGGCAAGUUAGCUACAAGAAUACUCUCUAUAGCCUCAUUGUUAAUUACUUAAAAGCAAACAAACAACCCAGAAGAAUGAAAAGCAUAGAUAUCAGUUGGACCCAGUAUUCUAUUAGAAGUAUCUCAGACCUUUAGAGAUAUACAUUGCACACCAUGCCUCCACCUAGUAAUACGAUUGGCCAUGUCUCAGCUUCCUAAGUUAGUAUUUACCACUGUUGUUAAGUCGGGAACUCUGGAGGGGCACUUGGUUAACAGAAAGUCUUAGAAUUCCUGUUACACUCACCUCUAGGGAUUACUUCAUCCCCUUGACACUGUUAACUGCUUAUUAGGUAGCGUAACCUUUCUUUUUUUCUACAAAGUUCCCGUUUCAUUAUGAAAGUGUUCUUUCAUCAGAGCUUAGUGCACAGUUGCCAUCUAGAAAGGAGACUGAUCACAAGCAAUGAAUAUUUAUUCAAAGCUUCAGUCAACAGGGCUUCCUGUUGUGAUUUUUCUGCUUUAUUAUCAAUGUUUUAUAUACCCUUGGCAGAAGAAACAACUGUGAUUUUUCAUUAUGAAUGUCUUGGUUAGAAUGGAACUACAUAUCUUAUUUUAACUACUUGAAAUAUUUCAAAUUAGAUAUCUUUAUCUUACUAAAUCAGAACCUGGGUUAUAAUCUGGGUUAAGUGACUAAACAUGGUAAGAGAGUUAAAACCUAGCAGUCUUUAAUAAAGGUCAUAAAACUGUCAAGUGCUAGCAAGGAAGUAUUUUAAGUUAUGUAGACCACACUUUUUCAUAGUCAUUCAUCUAUACAGGUUUUAUUAAAACAAACAAAAAACAGCCAAGCAAGAACAAUCUAUAAAGAUGAGAGUGGUUUUAUAUUCAUAAUAUUUUUAUAUUAUGUUUAUAGGAAAUUAAGUGUGAAUUUCACUGGGCAUGUUGUACAAUGCCUUUAACCUCAGCACUCAGGAAAAGGCAGGUGGAUCUCUGAGUUCGAGAUCAGCCUGAUUUAAAGCCAGGACAGCCCGGGUUUUCCUGAGAAACCAAAACC